GACGAACGCUGGCGGCGUGCCUAAUACACGCAAGUCGAGCGGACGAAUCGAAAGCUUGCUUUUGAUUCGUUAGCGGCGGACGGGUGAGUAACACGUGGGCAACCUGCCCUGUAGACGGGGAUAACACCGAGAAAUCGGUGCUAAUACCGGAUAACACGAAAUGUCGCAUGACGUUUCGUUGAAAGACGGCGCAAGCUGUCGCUACAGGAUGGGCCCGCGGCGCAUUAGCUAGUUGGUGAGGUAACGGCUCACCAAGGCGACGAUGCGUAGCCGACCUGAGAGGGUGAUCGGCCACACUGGGACUGAGACACGGCCCAGACUCCUACGGGAGGCAGCAGUAGGGAAUCUUCCGCAAUGGACGAAAGUCUGACGGAGCAACGCCGCGUGAGCGAAGAAGGCCUUCGGGUCGUAAAGCUCUGUUGUUAGGGAAGAACAAGUAACGCAGUAACUGGCGUUACCGUGACGGUACCUAACGAGAAAACCACGGCUAACUACGU
rnacentral:rRNA from 1 species